GAUUACUCCUACGGGAGGCAGCAGUGAGGAAUAUUGGUCAAUGGGCGAGAGCCUGAACCAGCCAAGUAGCGUGCAGGAUGACGGCCCUAUGGGUUGUAAACUGCUUUUAUGCGGGGAUAAAGUCUGGGAUGUAUCCCAUUUUGCAGGUACCGCAUGAAUAAGGACCGGCUAAUUCCGUGCCAGCAGCCGCGGUAAUACGGAAGGUCCG
rnacentral:rRNA from 1 species